UGCAAGUCGAACGGCAGCAUGAUCUAGCUUGCUAGAUUGAUGGCGAGUGGCGAACGGGUGAGUAAUACAUCGGAACGUGCCCUGUAGUGGGGGAUAACUAGUCGAAAGAUUAGCUAAUACCGCAUACGACCUGAGGGUGAAAGUGGGGGACCGCAAGGCCUCAUGCUAUAGGAGCGGCCGAUGUCUGAUUAGCUAGUUGGUGAGGUAAAGGCUCACCAAGGCGACGAUCAGUAGCUGGUCUGAGAGGACGAUCAGCCACACUGGGACUGAGACACGGCCCAGACUCCUACGGGAGGCAGCAGUGGGGAAUUUUGGACAAUGGGGGCAACCCUGAUCCAGCAAUGCCGCGUGUGUGAAGAAGGCCUUCGGGUUGUAAAGCACUUUUGUCCGGAAAGAAAUCGCACUUACUAAUAUUAGGUGUGGAUGACGGUACCGGAAGAAUAAGGACCGGCUAACUACGUGCCAGCAGCCGCGGUAAUACGUAGGGUCCAAGCGUUAAUCGGAAUUACUGGGCGUAAAGCGUGCGCAGGCGGUUGUGCAAGACCGAUGUGAAAUCCCCGGGCUUAACCUGGGAAUUGCAUUGGUGACUGCACGGCUAGAGUGUGUCAGAGGGGGGUAGAAUUCCACGUGUAGCAGUGAAAUGCGUAGAGAUGUGGAGGAAUACCGAUGGCGAAGGCAGCCCCCUGGGAUAACACUGACGCUCAUGCACGAAAGCGUGGGGAGCAAACAGGAUUAGAUACCCUGGUAG
rnacentral:rRNA from 1 species